UAGGGAAUAUUAGUAAUGGGCGCAAGCCUGAACUAGCAACGCCGCGUGUGCGAAGAAGGCCUUCGGGUUGUAAAGCACUUUUUGAGAGGAUGAGGAAGGACGGUACUCUCAGAAUAAGUCCCGGCUAACUACGUGCAGCAGCCGCGGUAACACGUAGGAGGCAAACGUUAUCCGGAUUUACUGGGCGUAAAGCGCGUGUAGGUGGUUUGGUAAGUAGGGCGUGAAAGCUCCUGGCUCAACUGGGAGAGGACGUUCUAAACUGCCAAGCUUGAGGAUGGUAGAGGGAGGUGGAAUUCCGGGUGUAGCGGUGCAAUGCGCAGAUAUCCGGAGGAACACCAGUGGCGAAGGCGGCCUCCUGGACCACUCCUGACACUCAGACGCGAAAGCUAGGGUAGCAAACGG
rnacentral:rRNA from 1 species